rnacentral:siRNA from 1 species
CCUAAGCUCCUACUGAGGGUC